GUGCCUUCGGGAACUGUGAGACAGGUGCUGCAUGGCUGUCGUCAGCUCGUGUUGUGAAAUGUUGGGUUAAGUCCCGCAACGAGCGCAACCCUUAUCCUUUGUUGCCAGCGAUUAGGUCGGGAACUCAAAGGAGACUGCCAGUGAUAAACUGGAGGAAGGUGGGGAUGACGUCAAGUCAUCAUGGCCCUUACGACCAGGGCUACACACGUGCUACAAUGGCGCAUACAAAGAGAAGCGACCU
rnacentral:rRNA from 3 species